GGGAUUGCGCAGUGGCAGUGUUGUCGCCAGUGAGGUUUAUCCAAGGUGUGAUUAUUGCCGAUUGAAAACUCUUCCCACUACCCUGCCAUGAUGACUUGAAGUAUAGUCGACAUUGGCAGUUUCUCACAGUCUUUAUGGAGA
rnacentral:snRNA from 1 species